GGGGACGUGGUGAAGUGGUAUCACGGAGGUCUCCAAAACCUUCGGCGGAGGUUCGAUUCCUCCCGUCCCCG
rnacentral:tRNA from 1 species